rnacentral:rRNA from 1 species
AUUGAGACUUCGGUGGAUUUGAUCUAUUUCUAGUGGCGGACGGGUGAGUAACGCGUGGGUAACCUGCCUUAUACAGGGGGAUAACAGUCAGAAAUGGCUGCUAAUACCGCAUAAGCGCACAGAGCUGCAUGGCUCAGUGUGAAAAACUCCGGUGGUAUAAGAUGGACCCGCGUUGGAUUAGCUGGUUGGUGGGGUAACGGCCCACCAAGGCGACGAUCCAUAGCCGGCCUGAGAGGGUGAACGGCCACAUUGGGACUGAGACACGGCCCAGACUCCUACGGGAGGCAGCAGUGGGGAAUAUUGCACAAUGGGGGAAACCCUGAUGCAGCGACGCCGCGUGAAGGAAGAAGUAUCUCGGUAUGUAAACUUCUAUCAGCAGGGAAGAUAGUGACGGUACCUGACUAAGAAGCCCCGGCUAACUACGUGCCAGCAGCCGCGGUAAUACGUAGGGGGCAAGCGUUAUCCGGAUUUACUGGGUGUAAAGGGAGCGUAGACGGUGUGGCAAGUCUGAUGUGAAAGGCAUGGGCUCAACCUGUGGACUGCAUUGGAAACUGUCAUACUUGAGUGCCGGAGGGGUAAGCGGAAUUCCUAGUGUAGCGGUGAAAUGCGUAGAUAUUAGGAGGAACAC